UACGUAGGGUGCAAGCGUUAAUCGGAAUUACUGGGCGUAAAGCGUGCGCAGGCGGUUAUGUAAGACAGAUGUGAAAUGCCCGGGCUUAACCUGGGAACUGCAUUUGUGACUGCAUGGCUAGAGUUUGGCAGAGGGGGGUAGAUUCCACGUGUAGCAGUGAAAUGCGUAGAUAUGUGGAGGAACACCGAUGGCGAAGGCAGGUCUCUGGGCCGAUACUGACGCUGAGGAGCGAAAAGCAUGGGGAGCGAACAGG
rnacentral:rRNA from 1 species